AUUUAGUAUUACCUGUAUAUCUAUCAGUCGUUUAGUUUUUUGUGAUCAUAUUUUUGCCGAAAUCUUAUUUAAAAUUUCAGCUGUAGUUUUAACUAUUCAUCACUAGAUGACAGUGUUUGUCAAGUAGGCACAAAGUGGUGAAAAGUUCUGUGAGAGCUGAGGUCCUGUUCUUCCAACGUCAGCGUCGGCAGGUUGCUAUUCAAAGCUCUGCAUGUGUGGAGGAUUAGGGGGAACAUCUAUGCAUCUGUGGAGCAUCGAUAAAGCAGUGACUGUAUCAUGGCAGCUUUACAAUCCUUCAGCCGGGGAGCUGAUGGGCUCAGAUGUGAAGGAGGCCGGCUUCAUUAUGACCCCAAAGCCCUCAGUUAUUGCAAAUACUUCAGGAAAAGCCUAAAAAGUCCUGAUGCGCCAACGAGCACUGUGUUCAUUAGCCGCUGCCAGUCGGACAGUGAGCUGGAGGUCGUUGGAGGCAGCGGAGCCAGAAGCUGGGAAGGUCGCACAGAUCUGCAGGGUCACGGCAGCUAUAUGUGGGCCGGCCCAGUGGGAAAGUAUAAUGAAGCCAGCCAGUUUAUGCAAAUUUAAUCACAUGAGGGAGUGUGUGGACCUGAAAUGCUUGUUAGCUGUGGAACAGACAAGGGCAUCACCCAACUCAUGUCUCUUCUUUGGCUGACGUACAGUAUUAUGUUUCCUCACAUACACUCAGACAGCAGAAACUUGGGAGGACAAACCUGUUGUCAUCAGUCUUGCUCCUCUCGCUGCCAGAACUGGCUGGACUGCUCUCACACAUGGGCCCAACAUGACUUAUACUGUACAAAGGACGAAAGACGGAGCACAGAUGAGCUCAAGUUAACUAGUGGAGCCGUUGAUGCAGGAACAGCAGAGGGAGGAAGGCUUCAUUCCACUGAUUUCAACUGCGAUGAGUUGCUUUGGAUCAGUACAUUUUUCAUUUCAUUUAAUAAGCUCUUGUUUAAGCUACUGCUAAUGCUUAAAGUCCACAGAAACUUUUCACGCAGCCGAGUCCAAUUUUAACAGCUGCUGAUCGAGUUGCUUUUAUUCUCAGUUAACUUCAGCUUUGGACCCAAAACAGGAGGAAUUAGAAACAACAAACAAG